AUCAGAAAGACUCUCGGCAACGGAUAUCUCGGCUCUUGCAUCGAUGAAGAACGUAGCGAAAUGCGAUACUUGGUGUGAAUUGCAGAAUCCCGUGAACCAUCGAGUCUUUGAACGCAAGUUGCGCCCGAAGCCAUUAGGCUGAGGGCACGCCUGCCUGGGUGUCGCCC
rnacentral:rRNA from 1 species